UACAGAGGGUGCGAGCGUUAAUCGGAAUUACUGGGCGUAAAGCGUGCGUAGACGGUCAUGUAAGUCGGGUGUGAAAGCCCGGGCUCAACCUGGGAAUUGCAUUCGAGACUGCAUGGCUAGGGUGCGGAAGAGGGAAGCGGAAUUUCCGGUGUAGCGGUGAAAUGCGUAGAUAUCGGAAGGAACACCAGUGGCGAAAGCGGCUUCCUGGUCCAGCACCGACGUUCAGGCACGAAAGCGUGGGGAGCAAACAGG
rnacentral:rRNA from 1 species